rnacentral:rRNA from 1 species
UACGGAAGGCAGCAGUGGGGAAUAUUGCACAAUGGGCGAAAGCCUGAUGCAGCUAUGCCGCGUGUAUGAAGAAGGCCUUAGGGUUGUAAAGUACUUUUCAUCGGGGAGGAAAAACAAAACUAAUAAUUUUAUUUCUUGACGUUACCCGAAAAAGAAGCACCGGCUAACUCCGUGCCAGCAGCCGCGGUAAUACGGAGGGUGCUAGCGUUAAUCAGAAUUACUGGGCGUAAAGAGCACGUAGGUGGUUUUUUUAAGUCAGAUGUGAAAUCCCUGGGCUUAACCUGGAACUUGCAUUUUGAAACUGAAAUACUAGAGUAUCGUAGAGGGAGGUAGAAUUCUAGGUGUAGCGGUGAAAUGCGUAGAUAUCUGGAGGAAUACCUGUGGCGAAAGCGGCCUCCUAAACGAAUACUGACACUGAGGUGCGAAAGCGUGGGGAGCAAACAGGGAUUAGAUACC